CAUGCCGUAAACGUUGGGCGCUAGGUGUGGGGCUCAUUCCACGAGCUCUGUGCCGCAGCAAACGCAUUAAGCGCCCCGCCUGGGGAGUACGGCCGCAAGGCUAAAACUCAAAGGAAUUGACGGGGCCCCGCACAAGCGGCGGAGCAUGCGGAUUAAUUCGAUGCAACGCGAAGAACCUUACCAAGGCUUGACAUGCAGGGAAAUCUCAUAGAGAUAUGAGGUCCGCAAGGGUCCUGCGCAGGUGG
rnacentral:rRNA from 1 species